rfam:Mus musculus selenoprotein R mRNA, complete cds.
GUCACCGAAUGAUCUGCUCUGGUCAAAUCCUUCUAUGCCAGCCAGGGUGGUGAUGACCCGUGAC